rnacentral:rRNA from 1 species
CGACUUGGGCGCUGUCUCAACGAGGGACUCGGUGAAAUUGUAGUAUCGGUGAAGAUGCCGAUUACCCGCAGAAAGACGGAAAGACCCCGUGAACCUUUACUGUAGCUUGAUAUUGGAGUCUGGUGCACGUCGUCCAGAAUAGGUGGGAGGCUUUGAAGCCGGGACGCCAGUCUCGGUGGAGCCACCUUUGGGAUACCACCCUUCGUGUUCUGGGCUUCUAACGCGUGUCCGUGAUCCGGCACGCAGACAGUGUCAGGUGGGCAGUUUGACUGGGGCGGUCGCCUCCUAAAAUGUAACGGAGGCGCCCAAAGGUUCCCUCAGGUUGUUUGGAAAUCAACCGUAGAGUGCAAAGGCAUAAGGGAGCUUAACUGCGAGACCGACGGGUCGAACAGGUGGGAAACCAGGGCUUAGUGAUCCGGUGGUCCUGUAUGGAAGGGCCAUCGCUCAACGGAUAAAAGGUACGCCGGGGAUAACAGGCUAAUAGUGUCCAAGAGCUCACAUCGACGACACUGUUUGGCACCUCGAUGUCGGCUCAUCUCAUCCUGGGGCUGAAGCAGGUCCCAAGGGUCCGGCUGUUCGCCGGUUAAAGAGGUACGUGAGCUGGGUUUAGAACGUCGCGAGACAGUUCGGUCCCUAUCCACGGUAGGCGCAGGAGAUUUGAGGGGGGCUGUCCAUAGUACGAAAGGACCUGGAUGGACGAACCUCUAGUGUACCAGUUGUCCCGCCAGGGGCAGCGCUGGGUAGCUACGUUCGGUCGUGAUAACCGCUGAAAGCAUAUAAGCGGGAAGCACGCCCCAAGAUAAGAUCUCCCUCCCGCAAGGGCUGAAGGUCCCUCGUAGACUACGAGGUUGAUAGGCUGGAGGUGUAAGCGCAGUGAUGCGUUCAGCUAACCAGUACUAAUAGACCGUGAGGCUUGACCAU